AUCGAACGCUGGCGGCAGGCCUAACACAUGCAAGUCGAACGAGUGGCGGACGGGCGAGUAAUGUAUGGGAAACUGCCUGACGGAGGGGGAUAACUACUGGAAAAGGUAGCUAAUACCGCAUACCACAAUUUCUGCCCAGAUGGGAUUAGCGAGUUGGGGGGGUAACGGUUCACCAUGGCGACGUUCCCUAGCUGGUCUGAGAGGAUGACCGGCCACACGGGAACGUGGACCCGGUCCAAACUCCUAGGGGGGGCAGCAUUGGGAAAUAUUGCAAAUUGAGCGCAAGCCUGAUGAAGCAAUGCCGCGUGUAUGAAGAGGGCCUUCGGUUUGUAAAGUACUUUCAGCGGGGAGGCGUUACCCGCAGAAGAAGCACCGGCUAACUCCGUGCCAGCCGCCGCGGUAAAC
rnacentral:rRNA from 1 species